UGGCGGACGGGUGAGUAACGCGUGGGUAACCUGCCUCAUACAGGGGGAUAACAGUUAGAAAUGACUGCUAAUACCGCAUAAGACCACAGCACCGCAUGGUGCAGGGGUAAAAACUCCGGUGGUAUGAGAUGGACCCGCGUCUGAUUAGGUAGUUGGUGGGGUAACGGCCUACCAAGCCGACGAUCAGUAGCCGACCUGAGAGGGUGACCGGCCACAUUGGAACUGAGACACGGUCCAG
rnacentral:rRNA from 1 species